GACGAACGCUGGCGGCGUGCUUAACACAUGCAAGUCGAGCGGUAAGGCCCUUUCGGGGGGUACACGAGCGGCGAACGGGUGAGUAACACGUGGGUGACCUGCCCUCAGCUCUGGGAUAAGCCUGGGAAACCGGUCUAAUACCGGAUAUGACUCCAUGACGCAUGUUGUGGGGUGGAAAGCCUUGUGCGGCUGAGGAUGGGCCCGCGGCCUAUCAGCUUGGUUGGUGGGGUGANGGCCUACCAAGGCGACGACAGGUAGCCGGCCUGAGAGGGCGACCGGCCACACUGGGACUGAGACACGGCCCAGACUCCUACGGGAGGCGAGCAGUGGGGAAUCUUGCGCAAUGGGCGAAAGCCUGACGCAGCGACGCCGCGUGAGGGAUGACGGCCUC
rnacentral:rRNA from 1 species